CAACGAUGAAAUUUUUCCCAGGAAAAAAAAUUCAAUACGUUCAGUACAAUAUUAAUUUAUAAUAAAAAUCAUGUCAAAUCGGCAAAAAAUGUGGAACGCUUCACGAUUUUGCGUGUCAUCCUUGCGCAGGGGCCAUGCUAAUCUUCUCUGUAUCGUUCCAAUUUUAGUAUAUGUACUGCCGAAGCAAGUACGUUAGUACGGUUGAAAGAAAUUCCUUAUAUACCGGAUAGUACAUUCAAAUAUACUAUCGAGAAACUUGAUUUUCCUUAGGAAGAGCCAUCUAGUGAUAAAUCCGUGUAUUGUCGUUACAUCAUAACCUCACAUUUAACCUAGCCUUAAAAACAAACAUGACUUAUCGGCCACUGUGACAUUAACAAAUAAAAGUCUGAAUUAAUUAUAAUUUAAUAGUUGACUCGUUUAACCAAAGAUACCGGUUUUACGAUUGAUCGGGAGCUAUGCGAUUAGCAGGCUGGAGAUAUGGCGUAUUUGUUGGAAGUUUUAAAAGAUCAGAGAAGUGGCUUUCAAAGAUAGACCUGUAUAAAUUAUCCCAUCAAAUUAAACUGGAGAGCUGGCUAUGAGACAGAGUCUAGGCACAAUAUCAUACUUUCUGUCACAAAAUAAUUUAUAUACUUUCUACUGCAAACAGUGAGUGAUUGACUGCUCGAGCAAUUAUCACGUAGAAGAAAUUUCGUUCGUUAAUCGACUAGAAAUUUCAUUGCUAGUAUACAAUCUUGUAAUUAUGCACUAUAUAACACAUUUAUUGUACACA